AUCCCGCUAUUACACUUACACUGCCUCCUACUGGGCCCGACUAAUAAAAACUGGCGGGAAUAUGUGCUGUGCUAGCUUUCAUCUCUAGUGGCCGCUCUUCUCCAUUACUGACAGAUUUGACCCUCUCGCACUGCCGUAGUGAUGUACGCAUGCGCCAAGGGUAGAUCAGCGCCGAGUUUCUCUGCACUUUCCAGUGCGAGGGUUGAGCUUCCCUCACAGCAAAAAGAACAGGUUGAACACUAUAGAUAUCCGAGCUGUCUUAGGAACAAGUGGCGUUUAUUAGACUUUAUAAAGCUCCAACGCACGUGACUCCUGCUGCACAGUAAACAAAGCAGCCUCCAUUUGGCCAUGUGGCCGCUGUUCUCCACUACUGACCGCUAACAGAUUUGACCCUCUCGCACUGCCGUAGUGAUGUAGCUGCUAGUUCCCAGUAGAUAAGACGCCGUGGGUGACGUCACGAACGUAUCCGUCACGUGACAUUCGGCGCCUUCGUCAAAUGGUGGUCACGCGGGGAUUGGCUGGAGCCGUACGCUACUACAGUGCUCCACUUAGUAGUUGUUUACGCUGACUAGCUUUAGGAUUUUUCUUUGGGGCAGGAUUUUAUUCAGUCUUCCCUUGAGCCUGCGAACCUGUUUACAUACUUGCUGGUCUGUGUAAGCUCAAGGAGAACGAGCCUUCCUGUGGGUCGAUUUUAAAAGGGGAUUUCCAGAAACUGUUUUGGACACAACUUAUUAAGUAUUUUGAUUGACAUAGUGCCUAGAUGACAUCGGCAACCAGCACCUCCCACCAAUGCACACCCAGUCCUUCUCAGUGGCUGCUGCGCUCUGGAAAAAAAAAAGUGAAAAAAAGAGAUGGCCGACGGCUGCCCUGGCUUGCUGUAACAGGACAGGAAAUCAGGAGAAAGGGAGGAGCGUGAUAAGAAAUGCUAAGAUAACAAAUAAAAUGGACCCAAAAGGAGACUGGAGGCUAAGCCGAGCAGAGGAGACUCACGUUCCUUGUUAAAGGGGAAGGAAAGUCUUUUUAACUUGUGGUUGCCACAAUUUAGGCAUCCCAAGUGAUUUUAUUUACUUAACUGAAAACCCAGGCUGCUGCUCCUGUCAACAGAAAACUGCACCGGCCUAGUGUUCUUCCAGAGAUCACCACAGAGUGAUUCUCUUUUUCCACUUCUUCAGACAUAACUGCACAGUGGUGUGAAAUAGCUGUUUUUUUCUGUUGUUAAAGUAUGGCUUUUCACUCUGCUGUGUAUGCACAGCUGCGGGAAUAAAGAAUAAGCAUGAACAGGAUCCCUCUGUGUAACUCGCUUGGCCUCUGCAGUUUUCUAUUGAUAGGAGCAGCAGCCCUGGGUAUAUACAAUCACUUAGAGCUGCCUAACUUUUGGUACCUUUAAGUAAAAAACUUGCUUCUCCUUUAAAGGUAAGUAAGGGUAACCUGAUAAUCAUAUUUAUGUAAUCAGUAUAGUAUUUGCCAUACUAUAAAAUUGUUUCUAUAAACUUGGUUAUCUUUAAUUUCAGAGGGGUGUUUUUUGAAUUGUUCAUUAAGCAUUUCUACUAUAUUUUCCUUAGAUUGUGUAGUUAUUUUUAGAUCUAUAUUAAUAUAUUUGCCAUUUUCAGAGAUGUGCCUGGUUAAUGCUGACUAGUUAAAUCUCUGUAACCAGGUACCCCAAGACCAUCAUUUAUUUUUGGACAAUAACAUCAAAAAAAUUAAAAUGUAACAAAGUAAUAACAAUUUGAUGAACUGUGGCCCUACAUUGAUAGCACUGAUGUGCUUGUUUUAGAAACACUACUAAAGUUUAUACAAUCAACCUGCUGUGUAGCCAUGGGGCAAGCCAUUCAAAGCUGGAAAAAGGAAAAAGGGACAGGUUUACAUAGCAGAUAACAGAUAAACUAUGUAGAAUACAAUGGGAUUCUACAGAAGUUUUCUGUUAACUUCUAUGUCACCUGUACCUCUUCUCCUUUUUUCAGACUGAAUGGCUGUCCCCAUGUUUAUCUGUAUAAACUAUAGUAGCCUUUCUGAAGCAAACACACCAGUUUUACCAGUACAGGGCAACAGUACAUUACAUUUUAAUUAAUU